rnacentral:ncRNA from 2 species
CUCUUAUGAAGAGAGGUGGAGGGACUGGCCCUGUGAAGCCUCGGCAACCUAAACGAACAUUUGUGGUGCCAAAUCCAACGGAUCGAUUCCGCUAGGUUCGAUUCCGAAAGAUAAGAG